UACGGAAGGUGCAAGCGUUGUUCGGAAUGACUGGGCGUAAAGAGCACGUAGGCGGUUUUGUGUGUCGGAUGUGAAAGCCCCAGGCUCAACCUGGGAACUGCACCCGAAACUGCAAAACUUGAAUGCUUAAGAGGUUGGUGGAAUUCCAGGUGUAGGAGUGAAAUCCGUAGAUAUCUGGAGGAACAUCGGAGGCGAAGGCGGCCAACUGGUGAUGCAUUGACGCUGAGGUGCGAAAGCGCGGGGAGCAAACAGG
rnacentral:rRNA from 1 species